GGAGACACGAUGCAAUGAAUGACAGUUCUCUCAUUGAAUUUGUGCUAACUGUGUCAACAUGUCACAUUGUCAACGUCGCUAUGGCAGGAGUGCUUCAGCUUUAUUCCGAUGAGCUAGCUAAGAGGACAAGCCUGGGGCCGCUGAGCGUUACGGGCGGGGUAGCAGUUCAGUAGCACUGGGAACAGUAGGAGACCCGGGUCGCCGAUGCGGCUCCCAGUCGUCCAGGUGAAGGGCUUCGGUGGAACAAGUAUUUCUCUGGGUGUGGACCCUUGUUGGCUGUUCUUACUUUCUGUGGUGAGCUGGCUGUAGGGCGUUGCCUGCUCGCUACGUGGCUUGUCUGUCCCUUCAGGACGCCCCCCGGACAACACUCGCGUACCUGCCUGCUGCCACUGCAGAGCUUGUCUGAUGCGCCUUCAGCGUGGCGUGGGGCCAUGGGGCCCAGGCCUCACGCCUAGGACGGAGCUGUGCGUGGAGAGGUGGGCCCUUCAGGGCGGUGGGCGCGCCCCCUCGGGCAAAUAUCACUGCGGUUCAAGUUUUUGAAAAGAACUCCACGAGGCGACGUGUCCGGUGCGAUGCGAGAUCCGCCGAGCCCCGGCCAGCGGGCCGUUUGCGCUUUACUUGUGUCUUACGGGAAUCUCGUUCGGCACGACGCUCAAAGCCUUUCUAGUUCCAGGCACACCAACUCCAGGAAGCACCGGACGUGGCUACGCGGGCCACCAGGAUCACCACGUCGCGCGGCUCCACCACCAGCAACAGCCAGCAUCGCAACCACCGUGGGACUUCCCCCACCAUAGCCGGAGGAGCGCCCCAGGACCCCGCGGCCGGGACACUCGCGAGCGCAGAGGACAAGACUGCGUUGUUGGGGCGCGUUUUACAGCCGGACACGGUUCGCCGCUGCGAGGCGCCCGGUCCAGGCUUUGGUAACGAGGGGCUUUGUCGGCAAACGAGUAUUUCUACGGAUGUCCAGCUUCGUGGUUGUCCUGCUUGCUGCCGUGUGAGCUGGCUGUGUGCCGCCGUGCCCCGACGGUGCGCUCGUCUCUCCCUUCAGGCACUCGGGGCCGGCCCUUAGUGUGACGAGCGUCUCGUACCCGCCCUCCAGCGCUACCGCCGCUGCCCCGCACCUUCAGUGCAGGUGGGGGGCGAGCCGGCUCGCUCACCAGGGGCGGCGGUUGGUACGUGGAGUCGGCGGGGGUGGCUGGCGUGUUCACGGGCAAAUAUCGCAUUUGGUGGACAAGUUUUUAAAAUGGACGCACGUUCGAGGCACGACGUCUGGCUGAAAUAGGAGUUUGCCAAUAACGCCUCUCCCUUGAAAGUUACUUGAUUUGUUCUGUCGGCUCGUUGCUCAAACUCUCCCUUGUUCCAGGCAUAGUCUGAGUAUUGCAGCAGAACUGCGAGCGCACGGCCGAAACCUACAA